GAGCAUGUGGUUUAAUUCGUACGCAACNGCGAAGAACCUUACCUGGGCUCGAACGGCUUCUGACGGCUUUUGGAAACGUAGAGCUUUUCCGCAAGGAACAGGAGUCGAGGUGCUGCAUGGCUUGUCGCCAGCUCGUGUCGUGAGAUGCUUGGGUUAAGUCCCGCAACGAGCGCAACCCUUGUCCUGUGUUGCUAAUCUGUAAAAGGAUGCACUCUCAGGAGACCGCCAGCGAUAAGCUGGAGGAAGGUGGGGAUGACGUCAAGUCAUCAUGGCCUUUAUGUCCAGGGCUACACACGUGCUACAAUGGACGGUACAGACCGUCGCAAACCCGCGAGGGGGAGCAAAUCGGAAAAAACCGUUCUCAGUUCGGAUUGCAGGCUGCAACUCGCCUGCAUGAAGCUGGAAUCGCUAGUAAUGGCAUAUCAGAACGAUGCCGUGAAUACGUUCCCGGGCCUUGUACACACCGCCCGUCACAUCACGAAAGUGGAUUGUACUAGAAGUCUGCGCGCGAACCCGCGAGGGGAGCAGCGGCCCAAGGUAUGAUUCAUGAUUGGGGUGAAGUCGUAACAAGGUAGCCGUAGGAGAACNUGCUGGCUGGAUCACCUCACUU
rnacentral:rRNA from 1 species